rnacentral:sRNA from 1 species
UGCAUUUCCGUACGGGGAAGGAUGAGAAGCUUCGACUAAGGUUCGAUUCGAGCGUAGCGAGAAAGCGUUGCCGCAGGCAACGACCCGAAGGGCGAGGCGCAACGCGCCGAGUCAUCCUUCCCCCACCACCA